rnacentral:rRNA from 1 species
AAAAACAUGUCUAUUAUGGUGAUAUUUAUAGUCUAGCCUGCUCAGUGACAUAAAAGUGUUAAAUAGCCGCGGUAUCCUGACCGUGCAAAGGUAGCAUAAUCAUUAGUUUUUUAAUUGGAAACUAGAAUGAAUGGUUGGACAAGAAAAAAACUGUCUCUUUUAUUAAAAUUGAAAUUAACUUUUAAGUGAAAAGGCUUAAAUUUACUAAGGGGACGAUAAGACCCUAUAAAGCUUUAUAAAUUCAGGAAUUUUAGAUAUUUUAUAUAUAAAUCUAUUUUUUGAUAAUUUAUUUGGUUGGGGCGACAAGGGUAUAAUUAUAAAUAACUGUCAUUAAUGUUUAUACAUAUAUUUUUGAUUUAAAUUUGAUAUAGUAGUUGAUCCUUUUUAAGGAUUUAAAGAUCAAGUUACUUUAGGGAUAACAGCGUAAUUUUUUCUGAGAGUCCUUAUCAAAGAAGAAGUUUGCGACCUCGAUGUUGAAUUAAAAUGUCUUUAUAGUGCAGCAGCUAUAAAAGAAGGUCUGUUCGACCUUUAAUUUUUUACGUGAUC